AUGACCUAUGAAUUGACAGAC
rnacentral:miRNA from 16 species